AAUAAAAUUUCUUUCAUUCGAAUAACAGCGAACACAAAGCGCUUGUGCUUGUACUUUUGCCGUAGGUAUACCCCUUGCAGCUGGCUACGUGGUGGAAUGCGUUAGUGAACACGCUGGGUGGGUGAUUUUUGCAGGGCCGUACCGGACCCUUCUCCUCUAUCUUUCCGGUUAAAAUAUUCGCGAUCGAUCGCUGGAUCGUUUAUAAUAUAUUUUCUGCACGACGAAUGCGUCCACGAUCGAUCGAUAUUUAUUCAACGACAAGCGCAAGAAAUAUAACUCAAUUUCUAAUUGCGAGCGUGGAUCGAAACUGGGGAUAGGGUUCGGUGACCGUCGCGAUUAAUAUAUUCCAUUCUUGGCCGCGAGAGGGCUUUCUUGUGGCUCCGAUCACGUGAUCGUUCAGAAUACGAAAAGGUUUUCGUGCACGAAAAGUUUGUUUCUUGGUGAAUUAGUUGAUUUUAACUUGAUAAAGUUUAAAUUUUGCAUUAAAUUGAAUUAUCUUAGUUCGAAUUCGAGAUUGGAAUUAUAUUCGAAAACAAUCCGGUAUAUUUAAUAUUGCAGAAUCCAGAUACUGAUUUCCUCUUCUGAUCUUCGUCAUAUUUACGUAGAUGUAACGCUUGUGUACAAGAAUUUCCACUUAACGAAGAUCCAUCAAAGAAUGUACUUAACCAGUUUUCUCAUGUAAUUGAUUUACUUCAGGGAGAGACGAAGAAAGUCGUUAAAAUCAAAUGACUUGUCUACCGUAAGUUGAAAAAUCUAACAAUAUUUC